UCCCUGGUGGCCCAGUAGUUAGGACUCGGUGCAUUCACAAUGCAGAGAGCCCAGGUUCAAUCCCUGGUCAGGGAA
rnacentral:tRNA from 1 species